GCAGAUUAGCUGCUUGCUGUUAAUCCGUCUGCAGCGUGUCUGUCAGUCAACAUGUCGUCGGUCAGAAGGAACCCAGUCUUGCUCUUCUCAGUGCUGCUGGUUGUUGUCUCGGUGUCGGCCUUCGUGGAGGAGCUCGAUGACUCCUUCCUGGAGACGAGAGGAGCCGACGACAUCUGGCUCAUCAAA